CAGCCGCCGCGGUAAUACGAAGGGGGCUAGCGUUGCUCGGAAUGACUGGGCGUAAAGGGCGCGUAGGCGGCGAUCAAAGUCAGGCGUGAAAUUCCUGGGCUCAACCUGGGGGCUGCGCUUGAUACUUGGUUGCUUGAGUGGGGAAGAGGGUCGUGGAAUUCCCAGUGUAGAGGUGAAAUUCGUAGAUAUUGGGAAGAACACCGGUGGCGAAGGCGGCGACCUGGUCCUUGACUGACGCUGAGGCGCGAAAGCGUGGGGAGCAAACAGGAUUAGAUACCCGAGUAGUCCAUGUCUCUUAUAC
rnacentral:rRNA from 1 species